rnacentral:sRNA from 1 species
UUUUUUCAGGCGGCCGGGAAGAUGGCGGACAUUCAGACUGAGCGUGCCUACCAAAAGCAGCCGACCAUCUUUCAAAACAAGAAGAGGGUCCUGCUGGGAGAAACUGGCAAGGAGAAGCUCCCGCGGUACUACAAGAACAUCGGUCUGGGCUUCAAGACACCCAAGGAGGUGCGGGGGAACCUCAGAAGAAAGAAGGGGACCGUGGCGUUCCUGCACGUGUGCCCACGACGAGUUGCCCUGCCUGCAUCUAAGUGGCUUCUGGGGCUGCUGGGAAUUGUAGUUGCUUCCCUGAGGCCACGCCCCUGGCUCUUUUAAGGAACCGCCCGCCCAAGGCUCACUCCUUUAUCUUUCCUAUCCUUUCAGGCUAUUGAGGGCACCUACAUUGACAAGAAAUGCCCCUUCACUGGUAAUGUGUCCAUUCGAGGGCGGAUCCUCUCUGGCGUGGUGACCAAGAUGAAGAUGCAGAGGACCAUUGUCAUCCGCCGAGACUAUCUGCACUACAUCCGCAAGUACAACCGCUUCGAGAAGCGCCACAAGAACAUGUCUGUACACCUGUCCCCCUGCUUCAGGUGAGCGCAGUGGCCCAUCAGGUUGCUCAGGCCA